CCUUCCACUACAAGAUCCAUGGUGCUGUGAAGAAUGUCCUGGAGAUCACCCUCUAUGACAAGGACAUCCUGGGCAGCAACCAGCUCUGCCUUCUGCUGUUUGACCUUGGGAGCCUCAAGCCCGGCCAACCCCACAGACACACCUUCCCACUCAACCACCAGGAUUCACAAGAGCUGCAGGUAGAAUUUGUUCUGGAGAACAGCCAGGUGCCUGCGUCUGAAGUCAUCACCAAUGGGGUCCUGGUGGUGAGUAGGGAAGGUGGGCUUGGGACUGCCCAGGGCUGGGGGGCAGUGAGGAGUCCAAGUUAAGCCCAUCAUGCCCACUGAAUGUGCUAGGGAGGUAUCUCCAGGAAUGAGGGGCAGAAGCUGCCUCAUGCCUGAGGCACAGACCAGAAGACAGUCUUCUACCUGUGUACAACGCAUUGCUUCCUUGGACCAAUGCUUCUGAAACUGCAGAAGGAGUCACUAUUAGGGCCACUCGAAUCCUCCCCAUUCCUGCUAGGGCCACUUCCUCUGAGUCCUGGGCAGGGGACAGGGUGGUGCUGCAACAGAAGACCCCUGUCGACAAGGCACAGGCUCUUGGAACAUCAUUACUUGGACUCUGCCUGAUAUUCCUCCCUCCAUCCUGGUUUUGGCUCUGUGCAGGGCCCUAUGGAAUGUCUUGCCCUGCUUUCCUUAGGCUCAGCCCUGUUUGAGAAUCCAGGGCACCCUCAAGGGAGAUGGGACAGCCCCACACCGAGAAUAUGGUGAGUCUGGUCAGUGGCCUUGGUUCUUACCUUCUUUCCUGAAGGGGGCUACUGAUUUCAAGAAGGUGGGUCUGGGGCAGAAAGUUUUUCAAUGUUUCACUGCUCAGAGCUGACCAAGGAUGAAACAGAUUGCCUCUGGAAGUAGUGAAUUUCCUAUCUCUGGAAUUGCUCAAGUAUAGAGGUGUAUCUGUCCAACUAUUGCUCUGCAAAAAACACCCCAAAACCUCAGUGGCAUAUGACAGGAAGCAUUUACUCAGUGUACACAUCUGUCAGUCAGCUGGAGCAUGGCUGAUCUAUGCUGGAUUUGGCAGGAGUGACCUAGCUCUGUGCCGUAUGUCCAUCGUCUACCUUCUGCAACCAGCAGACUAGCCAGGGUAUGUUCUAAGGCACCAGCAGAGGACCAAGAGCAAGCCCAAACAGACAAGUGCUUUUCAAGCUUUUGGUCACAUCACAGCCACCUAGCUGACAUUUUGUUAGCCAAAGCAAGUCACAACCUGACCCUAAGGCUGGAGGGCAGAGAAUGUAGCUGGUCGCUUAGCAGAAGGAACUGCAGCCCCAUGGCAGAGGGAGAAUUCCAGGAGAAGUAAAUAACUGAGACACCGAUGUGGUCUGCCAUCAGAGAGUAGCCACUUGGGGCAGGGGUGGGAGUCAGGGGGUGGCCCAGGAGUGGUAGUGGAGGCUGUGUGACAGCUCAGGACCCUCCGACACUGAGUCUGAGCCUGUGCCUACAGAUGAGUUCUGUCCAGACGACAUCCAUGAGUUACUAUUAUCAGGCACUGUGCUAGCCUCUUACAUGUGUUUUAUCUUUAUAUCCUCAUAACAACCCCAUAAAGUAGGUACAACCAUUAUUCUGUUUUAAUUCAUGAGACUGAGGCUUGAAGAAGAAAUUUGCUUAAAGUCACACAACCAGUAAGUGGUAGAGCCAGGACCAGACCCACGUCUGUGACUCCUGGGGCUCAUUUGCCCUCUCAAGCCACAGACGGUGUUGUUUCUGGCUGUCUCAAUCUCAGUCCAUAAACCAUGGUGUGAAAGAAGUAUCACUCUCCUUAUUUUCUCUAAUUCCCUACCACCCUCAGGUCAUGCCAAGUCUCUGGGUCUCAGUGCCACAGAGGGUGUGUAGAGAGAGGGAUUCCAUUUGGACCUCUGCCCCCGAGGCAUCUGCCAUCUUGGACUCUUGGGCAUCUGUUGCUCACAAGUUGUGUUUAGGGUUAGGGUCUCUUUUCUGAGGCUGUCCCAGGUCCCCUCUGCCUGGGUGUCCUGCACAGCCAUUUCUUUCUGGGGUGUUGCUCCCUCCCCAGAAAACUGCUGGGAACAGGGCAGACCCCCAGGCAUCUAGCCUGGACUGGCUCUCCCCUGCUUUUCCAUGUCACCUGGUCCCUCUGGACCCAUGAACCCACUUCUCCCUUUCACCUCCUCUGCAAACCCUCUUUAUUCUCCCAAGGUCUUAUGCUUUGGAAACAAAUGCCGGAACAACUUACAGCCUAUUUGCUUUCUCUCUGGCCACAAACCUUCCCCAAGGUGGUGAGCACAGAGCUUGAAUGGGGGCAAGAGAUGAGGGAACUAUAGUUGAAAACUGGUCAUUAAUGUACUAUUGUAUUUUUAAUAUUGUAAUUAUUUUAUAAUUAUAUUUUAAUAUACUUGUAACAGUCUCAAAGUCAUCAGCCCCAUAAGCUAUGGGCAGGGGGCUCCUCCCUCCCCGAAUUUCCCUUUUCCCCAGGCAUUGUGUGUUUCCUAUCCUGCCCCAGGUUCCCAGUUCUGACCAGGGCAGGUUAUAGGACCCUGGGUGUCCCUCAUGGUCCCUUUGCUAUUAUUGGUCACAGUGCCAGAGUGAGCAGGGUCAUGAGUUGGCACUUCAAAGAGAAAGGAAAGGGGAUUGCUCCUUGGGUGCUACCAUGAAGAGCCACACACACCCCUGCUCUCACUCCCUCACCUGGGCACUCAUGUGGGCCCUCUGCUGCCAGGCUCUAGACAGAUUCAGCUGGCAGUACCUGGGGCCUACGAGAAGCCUCAGCUCUUGCCCCUGGAGCCUUCUGUGGAGGCAGGCCUCCCAGCCACCUUUACCUUCCACGUGAAUCCAGUGCUCAGCUCCAGGCUGGAUGUGGAGCUGGGGGAGCAGCUCACUGUCCUGCAGGUGAGUGAGCCUGUAGCCUGGGAGCGGGCUGUGAGGGGCGCCAUGGUAGAAUC